CCGAGUGGAAUACCCUUUAAAGGAUAUAGGAAAAGAAAUUCUAGUUACUUAUCAGAUAAAUGGCAGCAAAAUUUGAAAGGUUACAGAAACUUUAUAUUUUCCUAAACCACCUUGUACCCAGAUAUUAAAAGUUGCCUUCAGAUUAAAUGUUGCCUUCGGAUUAUAUGGGUUGCGGGGAAACUCUGCUGGUUUUUCGGUAGAAGUCAACCUUGUUAUUUUAUCGUGUUUUGUAUAGAAGGUCAAUUAGGUCAUUCGUGCCCGACAUCCGCCAGGUGUCGGACACGCCGGCUCGGAUUCCAAAGCGGAAUUUGGGUUGGCUCCUGUCACCUUGUAUUCCAGCUAUCUGUGCAAUGAGAGGAUUCUCUUGGUAUGGCCAAGCCAAUACUGGUGGAGGGCCAUAAGGGAGGUCUAGCUGCUAGACUACAACAUCUGG
rnacentral:lncRNA from 1 species